UGAACGCUGGCGGCGUGCCUAAUACAUGCACGUCGAGCGAACAGACGAGGAGCUUGCUCCUCUGACGUUAGCGGCGGACGGGUGAGUAACACGUGGAUAACCUACCUAUAAGACUGGGAUAACUUCGGGAAACCGGAGCUAAUACCGGAUAAUAUAUUGAACCGCAUGGUUCAAUAGUGAAAGACGGUUUUGCUGUCACUUAUAGAUGGAUCCGCGCCGCAUUAGCUAGUUGGUAAGGUAACGGCUUACCAAGGCAACGAUGCGUAGCCGACCUGAGAGGGUGAUCGGCCACACUGGAACUGAGACACGGUCCAGACUCCUACGGGAGGCAGCAGUAGGGAAUCUUCCGCAAUGGGCGAAAGCCUGACGGAGCAACGCCGCGUGAGUGAUGAAGGUCUUCGGAUCGUAAAACUCUGUUAUUAGGGAAGAACAGAUGUGUAAGUAACUAUGCACGUCUUGACGGUACCUAAUCAGAAAGCCACGGCUAACUACGUG
rnacentral:rRNA from 1 species